GUCCAGGGAUGGGAACCUAACCCACAGUGUUCCGCUUACCGGGCAGAUGCCAUGUCCACUAGGCUACCCUGGA